UACUACCGAAGCGACGGCAUCAGUAAUGAUGGGUAGGGGAGCUUCCCAUACGGGUUGAAGCAUGACCGUAAGGACAUGUGGACAGUAUGGGAGUGGGAAUGUUGGCAUGAGUAGCGAGAUGUGGGUGAGAAUCCCACAGGCCGUAAACCCAAGGUUUCCAGGGGAAGGUUCGUCCGCCCUGGGUUAGUCGGGACCUAAGCUGAGGCCGAAAGGCGUAGGUGAU
rnacentral:rRNA from 1 species